AUGGGAGAGCGGGAGCGUGCCGUUUAUGGCCGUGCCGGGCACAGGUGCGUUCUGGUAAUGCUGCGACAUGUGCAGUCUGCUGGGGGCGGCCGGCUCCGCCACUUCAGGCCCGGGCAGGUACAUGCUGAUCAUGUCCCGGAGGUCUCCGGUUUGGCACGGAGCCCUGGAAUGGGAAGAAGACGUGACCACGGGGGGACUGGAGCUGGACUCCGUCUUGACCACCGAUCCCAUGGAGCCCAGGCUCAUCCCCGGGGUCCCCUGCUGCGAAUAGGACAUGCUGCUGUAGGUGGGCGAGCCGUUCAUGUAAGUCUGAGAGCCCGCCAUGGAGUUGUACUGCAAGGCGCUCACGUCGUAGCGGUGCAUGGGCUGCAUCUGGGCGGCGGCGGCCGCGGCGGCGGCGUUGUGCGCGUUCAGGCCCGGGUGCUGCGGGUAGCCCAGCUGCUCCUGCAUCAUCCCGUAGCCGCCGUUGGUCCAGCCGUUCAUGUGCGCGUAGCUGUCCAUCCGCUGGUUGACUCCGGCCGCGCCCAGCGUGGCCCCCACGCCGACCCCCGCGCCCAUGGAGUUGGAGCCCGGCGCCAGCAACCCGCCCGGCAAAGUGUACUUAUCCUUCUUCAUCAGCGUCUUGGUUUUCCUCCGGGGUCGGUAUUUAUAAUCCGGGUGUUCCUUCAUGUGCAAGGCGCGCAGCCGCUUGGCUUCGUCGAUGAAAGGUCUCUUCUCAGCCUCCGAGAGAAGUUUCCACUCGGCCCCGAGGCGCUUGCUGAUCUCCGAGUUGUGCAUCUUGGGGUUCUCCUGCGCCAUCUUCCGCCGCUGGCCCCGGGACCACACCAUAAAGGCGUUCAUGGGUCUCUUGACCCGAUCCGGGCUGUUCUUCUGGUUGUUGGCCCCGGAAUUGCUGUUGCCCCCCGCGCCUCCCCCCGCUGUCUGCUGGGGGGCGGGAGGCUUCAGUUCGGUUUCCAUCAUGUUGUACAUUCAAACGGCUUUUUUCGGCCGAGGGGGCGCAGCAACGGGCGGCCGGGAGGUCUCGGAAUGGUGGUGGGCAAGCAAACCAACGCAGCUUCGAGGAACUCCGGCUAUUAA
rnacentral:lncRNA from 1 species